CCGACCCUGCAGCUGGGAGACGAGCCCCAGCCCCAGAAGUCCCAGGUGUUCCCAUUCUGUGAUCAGCACAGAACACACAACCCUCACCAUGGAGUUUGUGCUGGGCUGGGUUUUCCUGGUUGCUCUUUUAAAAGGUGUCCAGUGUGACGUGCAGCUGGUGGAGUCUGGGGGAGACCUGGUGAAGCCUGGGGGGUCCCUGAGACUCACCUGUGUAGCCUCUGGAUUCACCUUCAGGAGCUAUUGGAUGAACUGGGUCCGCCAGGCUCCUGGGAAGGGGCUGCAGUGGGUCUCAGCAAUUAGUGGUAGUGGAGGUAGCACAGGCUACGCAGACUCCGUGAAGGGCCGAUUCACCAUCUCCAGAGACAACGCCAAGAACACGCUGUAUCUGCAGAUGAACAGCCUCAAGACCGAGGACACGGCCACAUAUUACUGUGCGAGUGACUACUGUAUCGGGAGUAGCUGUGCUACCUUUGACUACUGGGGCCAAGGAGCCCUGGUGACGGUGUCCUCAGAGACCUCAUCCCGUCCAAAUCUCUUCCCCCUCAUCACCUGUGAGAGCUCCCUGUCCGAUGAGCCCCUGGUGGCCAUGGGCUGCCUGGCCCGGGACUUCCUGCCCAGCUCCGUCACCUUCUCCUGGAACUACAAGAACAACAGUGUGGUCAACAACCAGGACAUCCAGACCUUCCCUCCAGUCCUGAGAGAGGGCAAGUACGUGGCUACCUCUCAGGUGCUCCUGCCCUCCGUGGACGUCCUCCAGGGUUCAGAUGACUUCCUCACAUGCAAUGUGAAACACCCCAAGGGCAACAGUGAGGUGAACGUGCCCAUCCCAGUGCCUGUAGAGCUGUCCCCCAACGUGACUGUCUUCAUCCCACCCCGUGACGCCUUCUCUGACAACAACCAGCGCACAUCCCAGCUCCUCUGUCAGGCAACAGGCUUCAGCCCCAAGAAGAUCUCUGUGUCCUGGCUUCGUGACGGAAAGCCCAUCAAGUCGGGCUUCAACCCAGGCAACGUGGAGGCUGAGAACCAAGGGCCCGGGCCCGUGACCUACAGGGUCCUCAGCACGCUGACCAUCACCGAGAAUGCCUGGCUCAGCCAGAGCGUGUUCACUUGCAAUGUGGAGCACAGUGGGCUGACCUUCAAGAAGAACGUGUCCUCCGCAUGCAUCCUCAACACGCAGGCCAGCAUCAGAAUCUUCGCCAUUCCCCCCACCUUCGCCAGCAUCUUCCAAACCAAGUCGGCCAAGCUGUCCUGCAGGGUCGUAGACCUGACCACCCGCGACAGCCUGAACAUCUCCUGGACCCGCCAGAAUGGCGACUUUCUGCCAACCACCACCAUCUUCCAGAGCAACCUCAACAACACCUUCAGUGCCACGGGGGAGGCCACCGUCUGUGCAGAGGACUGGGAGUCAGGGGAGGACUUCACCUGCACGGUGACCCACACAGAUCUGCCCUCACCACUGAAGAAGACCAUCUCUAAACCCAAGGACGUCAACAAGCAACCGCCCUCCGUCUACGUCCUGCCACCCAGCCGGGAGCAGCUGAGCCUGCGGGAGUCAGCCACAGUCACUUGCCUGGUGAAGGGCUUCUCACCCGCAGAUGUGUUCGUGCAAUGGCUGCAGAAAGGCCAACCCAUGUCCUCUGAGAGUUACGUGACCAGUGACCCGAAGCCCGAGCCCCAGGACCCCCACCUCUACUUUGUCCACAGCACCCUGACUGUGAGUGAGGAGGAGUGGAGCUCGGGGGAGACCUACACCUGUGUUGUGGGCCACGAGGCCCUGCCCCACAUGGUGACGGAGAGGAGCGUGGACAAGUCCACCGAGGGGGAGGUGAGCGCCGAGGAGGAGGGCUUCGAGAAUCUGAACACCAUGGCCUCCACCUUCAUCGUUCUCUUCCUCCUCAGCGUCUUCUACAGCACCACAGUCACCCUGUUCAAGGUGAAAUGACCCCCCCCGCUAAGAACUUCAGAGACCCAGAAGAUGAGACCCAGGGGGGCACUGCCUUGGGGCCCGGGGUUCCCAGCCUGCAGAGCCUGUCGACUUGCACUUAAAUCCUUCCCACGUCACCCUUCCCGCUUGCCGCCCAAAGACGCAGGCUUCUCAAGACCAGGCCAAGUGCCGUGGACGCAGCACCGCUCUGCAGUGUGCACACAUGUCGCCUUGAAAUAAACGUUUAUAUUUUAUCCUGUGAAA